rnacentral:rRNA from 1 species
UGAGGAAUAUUGGUCAAUGGGCGCAAGCCUGAACCAGCCAUCCCGCGUGCAGGAAGACGGCGCUAUGCGUUGUAAACUGCCUUUCCAGGGGGAGAAACUUGCGCACGUGUUGCGCAAUUGACGGUACCCUGGGAAUAAGCAUCGGCUAACUCCGUGCCAGCAGCCGCGGUAAUACGGAGGAUGCGAGCGUUAUCCGGAUUCAUUGGGUUUAAAGGGUGCGUAGGCGGACUAUCAAGUCAGUGGUGAAAUCCUGCAGCUUAACUGCAGAACUGCCAUUGAUACUGAUAGCCUUGAGUUUGGUUAAGGUAGGCGGAAUGUGUAAUGUAGCGGUGAAAUGCUUAGAUAUUACACAGAACACCAAUUGCGUAGGCAGCUUACUGAGCCGACACUGACGCUGAGGCACGAAAGCGUGGGGAUCGAACAG